rnacentral:rRNA from 1 species
GAUGAACGCUAGCGGCAGGCUUAACACAUGCAAGUCGAGGGGUAACAUAGAAAAGCUUGCUUUUCUGAUGACGACCGGCGCACGGGUGCGUAACGCGUAUACAACCUACCUUUUAGCGGGGAAUAGCCCAGGGAAACUUGGAUUAAUGCCCCAUAGUAUAUAGACUUCUCCUGAAGUUUAUAUUAAACAUUUAUGGCUAUUAGAUGGGUAUGCGUCCUAUUAGCUAGUUGGUGUGGUAACGGCACACCAAGGCUACGAUAGGUAGGGGUCCUGAGAGGGAGAUCCCCACACUGGUACUGAGACACGGACCAGACUCCUACGGGAGGCAGCAGUGAGGAAUAUUGGACAAUGGGCGGGAGCCUGAUCCAGCCAUGCCGCGUGCAGGAAGACUGCCCUAUGGGUUGUAAACUGCUUUUACAGAGGAAGAACCACCCCCACGUGUGGGGGUUUGACGGUACUCUGCGAAUAAGGAUCGGCUAACUCCGUG